GUGCUCAUUUCAACAGCACGUAUACUAAAAUUGGAAUGAUACAGAGAAGAUUAGCAUGGCCUCUGUGCAAGGAUGACAUAAAAAGAAGGAAACCUUGCAUUUUGUG
rnacentral:snRNA from 1 species